UACGGGGGGUCCAAGCGUUGUUCGGAAUCACUGGGCGUAAAGCGCAUGUAGGUGGCUUUCAAGUCAACUGUGAAAGCCCAGGGCCUAACCCUGGAAGUGCAGUUGAUACUGUUGAGCUUGAGUACGAGAGAGGAUAGUGGAAUUCCUGGUGUAGUGGUGAAAUACGUAGAUAUCAGGAGGAACAUCGGUGGCGAAGGCGGCUAUCUGGACAGAAACUGACGCUGAGGCGCGAAAGCUAGGGGAGCAAACAGG
rnacentral:rRNA from 1 species